CAGCAGCCGCGGGAAUACGAAGGGGGCUAGCGUUGCUCGGAAUGACUGGGCGUAAAGGGCGCGUAGGCGGACAGUUCAGUCGGGGGUGAAAGCCCGGGGCUCAACCUCGGAAUUGCCUUCGAUACUGGCUGUCUUGAGUGUGAGAGAGGUGUGUGGAACUCCGAGUGUAGAGGUGAAAUUCGUAGAUAUUCGGAAGAACACCAGUGGCGAAGGCGACAUACUGGUCCAUUACUGACGCUGAGGCUCGAAAGCGUGGGGAGCAAACAGGAUUAGAUACCCGAGUAGUCCCUGUCUCUUAUAC
rnacentral:rRNA from 1 species